rnacentral:rRNA from 1 species
GAUGAACGCUGACAGAAUGCUUAACACAUGCAAGUCAACUGUGGCGGACGGGUGAGUAACGCGUAAAGAACUUGCCUCACAGUUAGGGACAACAUUUGGAAACGAAUGCUAAUACCUGAUACUGUGAGAGAGCUUUGCGUCCCAUUAUCUCGAUGGAGAGGUAACGGCUCACAAAGGCGAUGAUGGGUAGCCGGCCUGAGAGGGGGAUCGGCCACAAGGGGACUGGGACACGGCCCUUACUCCUUCGGGGGGCAGGAGUGGGGAAUAUUGGACAAUGGACCAAAGUCUGAUCAAGCAAUUCUGUGUGCACGAUGAAGUUUUCGGAAUGUAAAGUGCUUUCAGUUGGGAAGCGGUACCAACAGAAGAAGUGACGGCUAAAUACGUGCCAGCAGCCGCGGUAAUUC